CCCCCUCUGUCCUCUCACUACAGAUGCUCAAAGUUUCCCUGUCCAUCCUUCACACCGCCCCAGUGUAACAGCUGCACAGCAGACACAGUUUGUAAGGACAAUGAGGUCUGCACUAGCACCGUAGGCACGUGUCGUGACGCAUGCCUGGUUAGACCCUGCGGAGUAAAUGCCAAAUGCUCCUCGGCCAAUCAUGCAAGGAGCUGUACCUGUGUGAGCCCAUGGAAAGGUGACCCAAACCAGGGCUGCAGGAACCAGGAUCUCCAGUGGACUCUGACAACAAGAGUACCCAACAAUGCUGUUCGUUCUGCAACCCAGUUAGCUGUGUGCAAAGCCAUUGGACCUGAUGGAGGAUGGCACAGUGGAUAUGUAAGGGAUCAAUACUGCAUGUAUGAGUAUGGCUGGAAAGUUAAUUGGGGCAAAAGCUAUCAGGUUCUGAUUGAUCCCUGUCAAGGACGUGGUUGGAAAUGGGUAGACGGG